rfam:Salmo salar isolate Sally breed double haploid chromosome ssa29, whole genome shotgun sequence.
GUUUUAAUGUUUUGUAAGUCGCUCUGGAUAAGAGCGUCUGCUAAAUGACUUAAA